GGUGCACAGAAAUAUCCAUGCAUUCCUUUAUAACACUACAAACCUAUUACGAUUAUAAUAUUGUUUAUAACCAAAAUUUUGUGAUUGUUGUAAUUUAGUUAGUUUAGGUCUUAUUUCCUUGUAUUUAAAGUACUUCAUAGUAAUUUUAGGAUUCCUAUUUUGAUAAGCUUGUCCAAGUAAAGCUAGGACUUAAAUUCUUAAAAAUACUAAAUAGGCAUAUUAUAUAUUUUUUACGGAAGAUGGUCAAAGUUAAUAAAACCAGAAUUUUCAAAACCAGAUCAGACUGGUUGGUUGGACCAGAAUACCUAGGAACUGGACCACUAUCCGGUCUAGUUAAUAAACCUUUCAGUUAAAGAAUCAAAAUUAACCCGCUAAGCAGGCCAGUUACCCAUUGAAGCAGUUGAUCCAGUCAUGGUUUAAUGGGUUAAAUGGUUUUCAGGAGUAUGAUUUGGUUGUAGCACUUUUAGGCUACUGCCACAUAACCCUCAUUAAAAAAAGAAACCAAUAUCUUCA
rnacentral:misc_RNA from 1 species